rnacentral:rRNA from 1 species
UACGAGAGGCCCAAACGUUAUUCGGAUUUACUGGGCUUAAAGAGUUCGUAGGCGGCGCAGAAAGUAGGGUGUGAAAGCCCUCGGCUCAACCGAGGAAUUGCGCCCUAAACUACUGUGCUUGAGGAACCUAGAGGUGAGCAGAACUGAUGGUGGAGCGGUGAAAUGCGUAGAUAUUGGGAAGAACACCAGUGGCGAAAGCGGACUUCUGGGUUGUUACUGACGCUGAGGUACGAAGGCGUGGGGAGCAAACGGG